rnacentral:rRNA from 1 species
AUGGCCGACACCGACGCCGGCGAGGUCCUCGAUGCCAUCGCCACGAGCACCCACGCCUCCGACGCACAGCACCACCCCACCGCCGAUAGCGCCCUGGCCUCCGACGCGCACCAGCACCUCGCCACCGAGAGCGCCCUGGCCUCCGACACCCAGCAGCACCCGGCCUCCAUCACGGCCACCGCGCCAGCCCAGGAAACGGUGCCGCCCGAGCUCCACCACCACUUCCUGCACCUGCGCGGGGAUGACGCCGCGGGGAGUUUCCUGGCGGCUGCGGUGAAGAGGGCCGAGGACGCCAUCGCCGACAAGUACGACGCGAGGGCGAGGCUCUGGCAAGAGCUGAUGACCAUAUCUAACAAGCUCAUACCAGCGUUCAACUGUGAGGAUCCGGAGGAGCAGAAUCAGAGGCUCAGGGCGGAACUGGACGCCACGACCAAAGAGCUCGAGUGGAAGAUGGAGAAGAUUGCAGAAUUGCAGGAGCUGGAGAAGGGUGCUUUGGAGGUCAACACACUGGACAUGGCAGAUGGAGAGAGCAAGCUGGUUGACCAUGAUCUGGUGCUGCAUGAGCUGGAGAAGAACUCUCCUACACAUACACAGGGUGCUUUGGAGAUCAACGCAUCGGAGGUGGGAGGUGAAGAGUGCAAGGUGGCUGAUCAUGCUCUCAUGCUGCAUGAAAACCACAAGCAAGAGAUGGAGGCUAUUCAUGCCAAGCUAAUUCAACUUGAGAGGCAACUGGAGCAAAGGGAUAAAGCCCUAGUGCUCACCGCACGGCAGCUGAACAUGAAACUACAAGCAGGGGAGAAGCUCGCAGAGGAAGACCAUCAACGUCUUUAUGCAGUAAUGACGUAUGUGAGAAAUAUUCUGGAUGAGGAAGGGAAAAGGAUGAAAGUUCCAUUGCUAGACCUCUUGAAAAGAGAGCAGGCUAACAGCAAAGAGCUCCAAGAGAAUCGCCAAGAGCUGGUUCAGGGUUUUGAGAACAUGCUGAUUAGUGGGAGCGCCGUUGUUGGAAUCAAAAGGAUGGGCCAACUUGAUGAAAAUCCUUUUCGCGCCACAUGCAAUUUGAAAUACAGGGACAAUGAUCCAGAGGGAAAAGCUGCAAGGUUGGUCUCGUAUUGGCAGGAGGAAAUACAGAAGCCAUUAUGGCGUCCGUUUACUAAUACUGAGGUCGAUGAAGAAGAUAAGGAGGUUAUAGAUGACAAUGAUCCAAUACUAAGCAAGCUGCCAUUUGAUUAUGGCGACAGCGUCUGCAAUGCAGUGAAGGAUGCACUGAGAGAGCUCAACGAGUAUAGUCCUGACAAGCGGCGCAUCAUGAAUGAGGUCUGGAACUUCCGGGAAGGGCGAAAAGCAACGAUGACAGAGGUGAUCACCUGCAUUUUGGAGCAGUUGGCAGUGGCGGACCCAGGAUUGCGAGGACAGGAAUUCAAGAUUCCCACAAAAAAAUAUUCAAAUUCAAUAUAA